GAAGGCGGCCUCCUGGACCACUCCUGACACUCAGACGCGAAAGCUAGGGUAGCAAACGGGAUUAGAGACCCCGGUAGUCCUAGCCCUAAACGAUGUAGACUUGGCGUCGGUGGUUUAAUCGCCAUCGGUGUCGUAGCUAACGCGNUAAGUCUACCGCCUGGGGACUACGGCCGCAAGGUUAAAACUCAAAGGAAUUGACGGGUCCCCGCACAAGCAGCGGAGCGUGUGGUUUAAUUCGAUGCUACACGAAGAACCUUACCUGGGUUUGACAUAGAGGUAGUAGGGAAGCGAAAGCGGACCGACCCUUCGGGGAGCCUCUACAGGUGUUGCAUGGCUGUCGUCAGCUCGUGUCGUGAGAUGUUCGGUUAAGUCCGCUAACGAGCGCAACCCUCGCUGUGUGUUACAAGUGUCACACGGUACUGCCGAUAUUAAGUCA
rnacentral:rRNA from 1 species